UUGACCGCACGCUUUGGGUGGAGCGCGGCAAUGCUAUUGCGUGAGAGGAGCGCGAGGCAUUUGAGAAGGACAAGGAAAGGGAUAAGUCCAAGAGUGGGCAGCUAAUGGAUCCGCGGGGUAGUCGAGUUCUAAGCGACCCCCUCGACCUCAGCGAUCACAGUGGCGGGGAGGCAGGAGUCAGACGCAGAGUCAGACUACCUACCCGUGCGUGAUUUGCGGCAGGGACCACAGAGUUACUGCUUGCCCUUAGCGGGAGGGGCGGUGUUUUUGAUGCGGCCAGGCGGGCCACAUAGGCCGAGAGUGCCCGGGUGGUGCAUCACCUGCUCCGUCAUCAGCUUU
rnacentral:lncRNA from 1 species